AAAUUCCACACUGCCUAGAUUCAUGACUGCCUGCUUCAAGACAAAACUACUUCAUGUCCUUGCAAAGUGAGUGGAUGAAGGAACACCUUUGAUAAGUGAUCUGGCUCAAAUCCUGGGAUGAUAAUAACAAUGUCACUCCUGGUUAUGUAGAAUGACACGUCAAUAUAACCACUCAUUAAAAGAAGCAUUAUUUAAUGCGAUUUGGAGCACAUGAUGUCCAAGCAGCAACUGUUUCUACCACUGGUAUCUGGUGAGAUGCAUGACUUUGGGUAAGCCAGCUUCCUGAGCUUUCCUACACCCACAGAGGCUGUGAUAUAUGACAGAGGCUACUCUUAGGUCAAAAUAGUGCAAUGAAAAUAAAUCAUUAUUUCAAAGUCCUAUGGGACAAUGAAACA